rnacentral:rRNA from 1 species
AAGUCUGACGGAGCAACGCCGCGUGAGCGAUGAAGGCCUUCGGGUCGUAAAGCUCUGUUGUUAGGGAAGAACAAGUACCGUAGUAACUGCUGGUACCUUGACGGUACCUAACCCGAAAGCCACGGCUAACUACCUGCCCACAGCCCCGGUAAUACCUAAGUGGCAAGCGUUGUCCGGAAUUAUUGGGCGUAAAGCGCGCGCAGGGGGUUUCUUAAGUCUGAUGUGAAAGCCCCCGGCUCAACCGUGGAAGGGCAUUGGAAACUGGGGAACUUGAGUGCCGAAAAAGAAAGUGGAAUUCCCCGUGUAGCGGUGAAAUGCCUAAAAAUGUGGAAGAACCCCCGUGGCGAAAGCGACUUUCUGGUCUGUAACUGACCCUGAAGCGCCAAAGCGUGGGGAGCCAACAGGAUUAAAUACCCUGGUAGUCCACGCCCUAAACGAUGAAUGCUAAGUGUUAAAGGGUUUCCGCCCUUUAAUGCUGCAGCAAACGC